rnacentral:misc_RNA from 1 species
GUUUUUCUCUCCUUCCCCAUCCCCAAACCCUAACCUCCAUCAAUCAAUCAACGAUUCAAUCGAGAUUGAAUCCAUGGAAGCUGUUAGCGCCGGCGUCUCCCAGCUCAACCUCUCCUCCCAUCGCCGCCGGCGAACCAUCCCCCAACCCCAAUUAUCAUGUCGUAGCUCGAGGGGUUUUGUUUGUUGUGCGUCUCAUGAAGAGCGAUCGACGGGGUUGUCGAGUACGAGCUGGAGUUUAUCGGCUGUGAAGAGGGAUCUGAGUGGGGGGAUGAUUUGUUCGGCUAAG